rnacentral:rRNA from 1 species
GAUGAACGCUAGCGACAGGCUUAACACAUGCAAGUCGAGGGGCAGCGGGGGUGCAGGCUUGCCUGCACCUGCCGGCGACCGGCGCACGGGUGAGUAACACGUAUGGAACCUGCCCGCCACAGGGGGAUAACCCGGGGAAACCCGGCCUAAUACCCCAUGCCGCCCGGACCGGGCAUCCGGUCCGGGCGAAAGGAGUAAUCCGGUGGCGGCUGGGCAUGCGGCGCAUUAGCUUGACGGCGGGGUAACGGCCCACCGUGGCGACGAUGCGUAGGGGUUCUGAGAGGAAGGCCCCCCACACUGGAACUGAGACACGGUCCAGACUCCUACGGGAGGCAGCAGUGAGGAAUAUUGGUCAAUGGGCGGAAGCCUGAACCAGCCAAGUCGCGUGAGGGAAUAAGGCCCUACGGGUCGUAAACCUCUUUUGCCGGGGAGCAAGGGCCGGGACGCGUCCCGGCCCGGAGAG